rnacentral:rRNA from 1 species
AAAUUGAAGAGUUUGAUCAUGGCUCAGAUUGAACGCUGGCGGCAGGCCUAACACAUGCAAGUCGAACGGUAACAGGAAGCAGCUUGCUGCUUCGCUGACGAGUGGCGGACGGGUGAGUAAUGUCUGGGAAACUGCCUGAUGGAGGGGGAUAACUACUGGAAACGGUGGCUAAUACCGCAUAACGUCGCAAGACCAAAGAGGGGGACCUUCGGGCCUCUUGCCAUCAGAUGUGCCCAGAUGGGAUUAGCUAGUUGGUGAGGUAACGGCUCACCAAGGCGACGAUCCCUAGCUGGUCUGAGAGGAUGACCAGCCACACUGGAACUGAGACACGGUCCAGACUCCUACGGGAGGCAGCAGUGGGG